UAUGAGAMUGAGCCMUUYUUAUGGCCUUAAGAAAAGUUUUUUYUKUUUUAUACGAUUAUGCCGGGGAAGGUUUUUCGGUUUAUCCCGGAGGGCUUGUAGCUCAGUUGGUUAGAGCGCGCGCUUGAUAAGCGUGAGGUCGGAGGUUCAAGUCCUCCCAGGCCCACCAAUUUCAUUAAGUGCUUAUAAAGUGCUUAUCCUUAARAGUAGAUGGAAGCAUAGGUCUAUAUUUCUUAAUCAAGAAGGUUAUAUGUUGCUUAUCAAUUGCGCUGAAGUGAUUUUAGCUCAUCUUUCUAUUGAUGGGUUUUAUCCUUUAUCCUAUUUUAGGGGCCGUAGCUCAGCUGGGAGAGCACCUGCUUUGCAAGCAGGGGGCGGUCGG
rnacentral:misc_RNA from 1 species